AAAAGGAUCCCCGCCAGUACAUGAAAAUAAGCCUGCCUGCUCUCUGCCUUUCACAUUUUUGUCCGUUGGAUUAUUGUUUGCGCAUCUUUGCAGUUGGGUUAGGGGAGAAAUGCAGGAAAACUAGUGAACUGAGUCAUCUCCUAGCAGGGUGUUGGACACCAGACUCUUCUCAUCUUGCUGCUUUCCUGCCAUUGAUGCUGAUAGAGCAUAGCAUCCUUCUGCAGCCAUUGAUGCUGAUGGGGCGUGGCAUCCUUCUGCAGCCUCUCUUCCCUUCAGUUCUAAGACCAAAAUGCAGACUUUCAUGA
rnacentral:lncRNA from 1 species